GUCACUGUAUAUCUUGCUAUUGUGGGAGUCUUGGUUUGUGGUAUUGGGUAUUUCCUGUACACCCCCUUUCCUGAUUACAUGGACCGACCCUGGGAGCUGCAGAUUAGCACAGAUUAAGAUCGGUGCCAUCAUCGAAGAAGAAAAGGACAACCACCUGCAGAAAACAUUACUGAUGGGGGAUUAUUUAGACAGAAGGAUGGUUACACCCCUGCAGACUACAUCUUUAAAAGAAGAAUUUAUCAAAAUUAAAAAGAAAUUACAUGAAAUAAAUAAUGAAAUACUUAAAUUGACAAAAAGUAUACCAUUUAAAAGAAAGAAAAAAAAAUGAUGUUCAGCUAUAUUGAUACACUGAACACAUUCAGAUGUGAUAGUUUUUUCAUACUUCGCCUAGAUACUGUCAUCAAAAGAACUCAAGGACAAAAACAAGCAUAUUAGGUAAAUAUAACUUAUUCGCUUUAUAUAGCAUA